GCGGGGGUGGCCGAGUCAGGUCAAAGGUGCCAGCUUGAGGGGCUGGUCCCGUAGGGGUUCGCGGGUUCAAAUCCCGUCCCCCGCACCA
rnacentral:tRNA from 1 species